rnacentral:tRNA from 1 species
UGGCCCCGUGGUGUAGUGGGCAAACAUGCCACCCUGUUACGGUGGAGAUCGGAGGUUCGAAACCCCGGGGUCGC